UAAAAAUAAAUAAUAAAAUUUCGUAUAAAAUCGAGAAUGGGCUCGAAAGUUUCUACCAGGUGGCCGUAACCAUCUGACUACGAACCAUAGAUAUGCAUAU
rnacentral:ncRNA from 2 species